rnacentral:rRNA from 1 species
UGGGGAAUAUUGGACAAUGGGCGCAAGCCUGAUCCAGCCAUGCCGCGUGAGUGAUGAAGGCCCUAGGGUUGUAAAGCUCUUUCACCGGUGAAGAUAAUGACGGUAACCGGAGAAGAAGCCCCGGCUAACUUCGUGCCAGCAGCCGCGGUAAUACGAAGGGGGCUAGCGUUGUUCGGAUUUACUGGGCGUAAAGCGCACGUAGGCGGACUUUUAAGUCAGGGGUGAAAUCCCGGGGCUCAACCCCGGAACUGCCUUUGAUACUGGAAGGCUUGAGUAUGGUAGAGGUGAGUGGAAUUCCGAGUGUAGAGGUGAAAUUCGUAGAUAUUCGGAGGAAAACCAGUGGCGAAGGCGGCUCACUGGACCAUUACUGACGCUGAGGUGCGAAAGCGUGGGGAGCAAACAGG